CUAGCUUUCCUGCCUGCUAACAGCCCGAAGAUGACUCUGAACACACCACAGAUGCGAGAUUCACACUAAUAACGGCAGAGUGCGUGACUAACCGACAGCUACUUGACAGAGACAGCAAACAAGCUCAGCGACAUGGCCAAAAGCAAGUAUGACGCUGCAUGUAUUAAACUGUGGGACCUUGAACUAAUGGCUAAGGAGAAAUCUGGACCCCAUGGCUACACCAGUUGAGGACUACUGAUUAAGAGCAAGCAAGUGAAGACCUGGAAGUGAAAUAGAUGAAAUGAAUGUGUAUCUGACAGCACCAGAUUGGACAACACAGGACGAGAUCUUCCAGAUGAUGGAUUUUACCCAUCCAAGAAGCUGAAGUCCAGUCCCAUUCAAUAAUCCCUUGCU